GGCCUGAGCUACGUGCGCCCGUAAAACCGCUAGUAGCCGGGCCCUACUUUCUCCCCGCUUUUUUUUUUCCGCAGCCGCCUGGUUCAACUGGGCACGCACCGAGCGUGUGGGCCCCGACGUAGGGGGGAAGGGACUGAGAUUGGCCCGAUGGGAGGUGAUCGGUGCUGGUUCCCAGGACUGGACUGUGGGCAGCAGGACACUAGGGAGUCAAGGACGGGGACCCUUACACGCUUGGAUGAAACAGGAGGACUUUGGGAACGACUGAGAUGGGGAAUUGGAGCCGGAGCCCAGCACCGCUCGCGGCUGCACGCGGCCUGCCCCCUCCCCUUUCUUUCUUUCAAAGGCUGAGAGGCGGGAAAGUUGGGGAACUUCUCCUCGAGGCUCUGCGGUAGUGACACCGGACUGCUCAGGCAAAGGCCUAGGAGGGGCCCAUGGGCCUCGGGCGGGGGCCCGUGGUUCCUUCCCAGCCCCCACUUCCCCCUCCCCAUCUCCUGGCUCCUGGCAUCUCUGGGACCGAGGCCUGGGCUGGGCACUGGGCACUGGGCACUGGGGGCCUGGAGAGGAAGGAGGCUCGGGAGGCGGCUUGAGGGGGAGGGGGAGGUUUCUGCACGGAAGGUCACGAUGUCCUGCAGCCCUGUAGCCUGGACCUGAUAAUUAGGGCAGACAAUCCCGGCCCUGUGUGCACCAGCGGCUCUCUCCGGGCUGGGGCCCCAGGCGGAGGACAGGAUGGCUGGUGGGGGCCCAGAGGCCUCCCACAAAGGCACUCCUGGAAACCUGUGGGCUGUGCUGCCUAGGGAGAGAGACAGUGUGCCUUUCAUUCCAUCCAGCCUGGGGCGAAGAGCGGGACGUGAGGGCGGAAGUCCCUCCCCGCCCUGGGACGUGCAGGCGAGCCAGGAGCCAGGGACUCCCUUUCACUGGCUGCGCCGGGGGAUAUUGAGGGCAGGCACCCACAGGACUCCAGUCCCUGACCCUGCCUUUCUGGGAUUGCCUUUCCUGCUGGGACCCAGAGCCAGGCUGUGUCCUCGUCUGGCUGCCACUGGCAUGGUUGGUGCGGGCUUUUCACAAUGACCACCCAGAGCAGAGUAGCAAGAGCAAGGCAAGAAGGUCCCUAAUGGUGAAAGGGGUGGGGUGGGGGAGUGGAGGAAGCCCCACCUCUGACUCAGCUAUUCCUGCAACCAGGACCGUUAACCCUUUCUCAUUGAGAGCAUUAAGAGCACCUCCAUGCUCCUGCACCACCCAAGCGUGAUCUUCCCCUCUGCCUCAUGCUUGUCAUUUUUCAUUACUGUCUUCUCCCCGCAAAGAGGGAGCUCAGUGCCCAGGGAGCACUACUGACGUAGUGUGCUGUUGUCAUGACAGCAGAGGCACCAGUGUGGUCACGACAGCCAGCUCACAGCCUCCGGUUCGAAGGUGACUCAGCAGAGAAGACUUGAGGAGCUGGAGAGGGGUGCGCAGGCUUCAGGGGGCAGCCCGCCUGCAGCAUAGCUCACGCCCUCUGCAGACCCGGGAACAAUGAGGAAUGCUGGGAGACAGGUCUUGUCUCCUGCAGAGCUGGAGGGGAUCAUGAUCUGAACUUCCACGAGCCUGGGCCGGUCUGCUGCCAACCUUUGGAGAUGGGAUUAGGGAACACGAGUGGGGGUGGGGUGAGGCACACGGCAGAAAGCAACCCUUGGUCUAGAGCAGGUUUUCUCAACUGUGACGCUAUUGACAUUGUGGGCCGUGUGAUUCUUUGUUGAGGGGCCAUCCUGUGCACUGCAGGAUGUUGAGCCACAUCCCUGGCCUCUUCCCACAAAUGCUGGUAGCAUUCUUCCCCUAUAGGCUAUGACAACAAAACAGGCCCCAGGUGUUGUCAGAUGUCCUCUGGCAGACAAAAUUGCCCCCGGUUCAGAAGCACUGAUCUGGAGCCUAGGCACUGCAUAAUUCUCCCCAGAGAGGCUGUCUGGUCACUGUGCAGGGUCCAGAGGUUGAGAGGGGAAAGGUGGCAGUGACGGGGCAGGAAGCUCAUCUGCCAUCCCGGGACAGGCCCUAGGACUCUGGGCUCACUCAUCUCUCUCUGCACUGAUAACCCUCUCUCUGCUGCAUGAAACUGGGCUAAUGUGAAAGAUGAAACAAAGACAAGCUUAGGAAAAAAUGUCUAAAAGUAUAUAAAAACAUUUAUUCAUUAGAAAACAAGGA